UAUUAAACAGUCCAGGUUACAAAAGCCCAUACCCAGUUACAACCCAAUAGCCAAAUCAGUACCUAAAACUACGCAGCAGGCCCACUACCCAAAACCUUAAAGUAGUCCCGUAGCCCAAGUACAAUAGAUCCAGCAGCCAAAACUUGACCCUACCUAAACCAGCCUAACUUAAACAGACCCACCCGAAGGCCCAAAUAGCGGGAGCCCAAAUGAGUUUCGGAUAGGGUUAGAAACCCUAGCUCUCCUUCUCUUCAACGCCCCAAUGAAGUUCUGGAAGCUUCGAGUCAUCCCAAGCAUCUCGACCCUUCGAUCUAUGCCGUUCCAAUAACACCAUCAGCGCCGUGAUUCCAGGAUCCGUGAUCGGUGCACUAAUCAGAGGCCAGAGACUUCGUCGCUCGAUUACCUGCAAAAAAGAGGAGAAAACAGCAAAGGAAAGAAGCAAAACAAGGCAAGAAACAUGACAGAUUUGUAUACCAAAAUUGUAUUGGUUAACAGUGGCUAUAAAGCCUAGAUCUAAACAUUGUAAAAGGGGGGGAACCAAAUAAAUGUAAAACAUAUACGGAUAUUACAGAGAAAAAGAAUAAAAAUCAAAUCUGAGGUGAUUUUUCAGAAACUACCUUUCAUUCUCUUUUCUAUCUUUUUUCAUUUUUUUCAGAGAUUUAAAUCGUUUUUGAAACAAAAGAACUUUUAAAACGGGAAGGAAAGAGGAUAUUACCGUCGGAUUGGGCUUUGGGAAGCUUUAAGGAGCGUAAAGCUCGCUUUUGGGAGCUCCAACCACCGUGAACGGUGGUGGAGAAGGCGGAGGACGGCGGGGCCCGAUGAUCUGAGUUCGAUUGGAGCUCAAAGGGCAGGCAGGCUCUUGAGAGCAUUAUUCUUGAGUUUUUUUUAGGAGGAGGUGAAAAUGAAAGUUUUUUGUAAGAAAAUUGGUUUUUAAAGCGCCCAUAUACGGCACCGUUUCGUAGUGUACAGAAGGGCCCCAAAACGACGUCGUUUUGGGGCCAACCCGAUUGCCCGACCCGGUACAUUUAGAGAUCCGCGUGUUUUUUCGGCUACAAGGAUAUUUAUCCCUUUAGUCCUUCCUCAUUUUCAGCUUUUAAAAUUAAAUUUAUUUUUUUAAAAUUAGCCUUAUAAUUCUAUUUAAAUUUAAUCUUAGCCCUUUUCUUUAUUAUUUUGUUAUUCUUUUAUAUCUAAUUUAUUUAUUAUAAAAAAACUAUACAUAUAUUAUUAUUCAAAAUACGAUUUAUAUAUCUAUAUAAAUUUUUAUUUAUCAUAUAUUAUUCUCCUAUAUAUUUAUAUUAUGUAACAUUCAUUUUUUUUAUUUUUUUUAUAUUACUUAUUAUUUAUUAUAAUAUAUUUUUAUCACAUAAGGUUUAUAUAUCCUUAUACUAUUAUUUUACAUUGUAACAAUAUAUUUUUUUCAUAUUAUUAUUCAUUAUAUAUUAUUUUUUACAAAUUAUUUUAAUUAUUUUAAAUUAUGCCAUUUUUAUACCAUUAUAUAUAUUUAUCUAUAUAUUAUUAUCAUUAAAGGUUUCAACUUGUAUUAUAUGCGUACCUUUAUUUAUAUGUUAGUAAUUACUUUACUCAUAUUUUAUUAUUACACAUUUUGAAGAUAUUAUAAUAUUAUAAUUUGUAUAGUACAUGUAUUUUUUCGUUAAUUACUUAUUCCAUAUUAUUCAAAACUUAUACUUAUAUAUAUUAUAUAAUUAUUUUAUUAAAAAUAUAAAUUCUUUUACACAUUUGAUAUUUUAUAUACCAAUAUAUUUUAUAUUUUUCACAUAAUUAUUAUUUUUAUAAAUAUUUUUUAUUAUAUAUUAUACUAUUAAAUAUCACAUCUUUUAUAUACGCUCAUUCUAUUUAUUAAUUGUUUAUAUUAUACAUAUAUUUUCUUUUAAACUUACGUUUUAUACAAUAUUUACUUUACUUUAGAAUUAAUUGUUAUGUUAUGUAUUUUUUAAUAUCUUAGACUUUUAUAAUUUAUUUUCAAAUGUAUAUUUUUGUAUGUAUAUAGAUUGAUAUAUUGUAUUAUAUGCAUCAUUUCAUUUAUUAACACAUUCAUGUGUACAUGAAAUUAUAGGAUUGUAUAUUUCAUAUUUUAUGUAGAUUCUAGUUAUCCAUUUUCUAUGCAUGACAUUUUUACUCAUACAUAUUUUACACAUUAAUAUUUACCAUGUAUUUUGUAUAUUAUUUAAUGUUUUAUUUAUAAUAUAAUUAGUGAGUUUAUUAGGUUUUCUAUUGGGUAUAUUCCUAUUUACUUAGCAUGAUUAUUUUCAUUAUUCUAUUUUGCUCUCUAUAUAGUGAUUGCAUUUGUAUAAAGUGUUAUAAUACUUUGUAAUAUACAUUAUUUGAAUAUUUAUGUUUUGUAAUACAGAAUUGUCACUCUAAAAAGUCAUUUAAAAACAAUGUUUAAAAGUUUUUCAUAAAAAUAAAAGCAAUACUUGAUGUUUGGAAACUUUGAGAAAGGUAGUGCCCUAACUUAUUGGGUCGCCACUUUUCUCAUAGAGUUCAAAUAGUCAAGCACCUUUCUAAUUUUUUUAAAAGGAUUUCAAAAUACGAGCAACUGUCUUGAAAUUACAAAACGUCAUGUCCAAACUUACUGAAUAUGAUGUUUUGACAUCUCAAGAUAGGGAUUUUUCAAAAAUGCUUAGCUUAGUUUCAAAUAUCUUAAAAUAGUGCAUCCUAACUUGUUGGAUGUAAUGCCUUGAUUCAUUUGAUACAAGUGAACCUUAAUUUUCAAAAUCAAAAUAUUGUAAAGAGGAUUACAUCUUAGAAUUUCUAAUUUCCGACCUUAAAGACAUUUGAUAAUCAAUUAGGUACCAAUUUUUGGGCGUUACGAGGGUGUUAACCCUUCCUCGUACGUAACCGACUCCCGAACCCAUUCUUUUGAUUUCGUAGACCAAAACCAACAAUUUUAAAACAAAUGUUUUAAAGGUGAUCCAAUCACACCUAAAAAGAUUGGUGGCGACUCUCGUUUUCGUUUUUUAAAAUCAAUUCCCAUUUUCCAAAACUCGAUUUGAAAAUGGUCUCGACAGCUUGGCGACUCCGCUGGGGACUAAUAAGAGAGUCAAGCCGUGUAAUUGAUUAUCUUUUGGCUUAAUGUCAGAAAUUAAAAAUUUUAAAAUUUAAUCUUCUUUGCAUUACAUGUGUUCGUGUUAUUGCAUGUGUUGCUAUAUUCUAAUACGCAUUGCAUUUGCAUGACCGUUGUGGUCACACCCUUAAGUGGGAGUGAGAAGCUACGCCUUCGUGAGGUUUUCGCCUCCGUGCAGGAUAGUGGAUCACUUUCGAGAUACAUCCAUGCCUAUGGUUUCGUGAGAUUUUCAUCUCCGUGUAGCCAUAGGGAAAUGUGUCCCCCUGAAUUAAACUCGAUUCAAAUGAGCCUAUAAUGGGUGAGGAUCGAGGAAUCUGCUGGUUCAGGUACCUCAACUUUAGAACUAAACCACAUAUAGAAGGACUGUAAGAGCUCAACCUAGAUAGAAUUAUACCGUAAUUAUUACCCUUGCAGGUUAUUUUUGAGUUUAUUGUUAUCAUGUGAUACUAACUAUCUCCUUUCUUUUGUUGCAUAUCAUUUCGCAUUUAAAAGGUAUCGAUUUUCGGUCAGUUUUUAAGUUAGAGAGUUUUAUUAUGGAGAACGGACUUCUUGAUAGAGUGGAAGACAAUACUAACGUCCAUAUAUGGUCAGAGCAAACUCAGUUAGUAAAGGAAAAUAGUCUAGCCAUGGGAUAUGUGUCAGAGCUGUCAGACUACAUUCGUAUCACACAGGAUAAUCAGCAUGAGUUAAAGGAAAUAUGGGAUCAAUGGGGUAGCGAAGCCAAGCAGUUGUUCUACAACAACCAUGGGGACUUGCAGUACUUGCUUGACUUGGGAAUAGAUGAGAAUUUGUUUCGGGCCAUCACUCAGUAUUGGAAUCUUGUAUACAAUUGCUUUACGUUUGGAAAAGCCUAUAUGGUACCCGUGGUAGAGGAAUAUUCAAUUUUGUGGCGUUGUCCUAUGAUUCAAGUUGAUAAAGUUUACUCAAGGGCUAACUGUAUUCCAACUUUUGUGAGGAAGUUGAUGAAUGUCAUAGGGAGAGGGAGUGAGCUAAAAUGGAAAGAGCAGGAGGGAAAAGGGGCAGUCUUGGAAUUCCUGCCUCUUUCACCACUAGUGCGUCUUAAUGUUGUUUCCAAUCAAAGCAGAAUUGGAUACGAAGAAGAUUGUUCGACACUCUAUGGCAAGGCGUGGUGCAGGGAAAAAGGUAAUGUACUCACCAAUCAUUUUAAGGUGAACAAGAAGAGUAUGGAUGGACAUUUCCACCAUUACAACAUUUCUCUUUCAUAGGAAGAUGGUCGAUGGUAAGAGUGUUGGAAGGUGAUUGACAGAAUGCAUGGACCUACAAAGGUGAGUUGGAUGGAAAGAAUUGUGCCUAUGAUGGUAAAAGGCUUAUUUAUUAUAGAACCAAACAACAAGCAUGAGUUCACUAUGUUGCACUUAUCAGAGAUAAUGGAAAUGCAAGCCCUGAUGAUCUGUCAAAAUGGACGCAAAAGAAUGAGAUUAAAGAAGUCCAUGUCAUUUAAAAGACCUUUAAAGAAGAGAUUAACUAUACUGAGAAGAUACCCAUCUAAGCAUUUCAAAAUGCUUUGCGUGGACAGGAAUCUGAAAGUUCUCAAGAAACCCUAAAGGUGUUGGAUAUCAUUUUAAGGUAGCAUGUUAAGCAGGAAUGCCCACUUGUUUGCCAAUCUUUCUUUCAAGAUAAUCAGAACAACUUCACAGACAUUGGAUGAGGUGUCCAUAGAUGUAGGGAUUAUCUUAUGGGUGAAGCCAUAGCUCAAAUUCGGGAUGGUACUAGAUCAUUUACAGACCAUGAAGGUACAAGCUGAUACAUUGAGCACAGUCAGAUCAUUGUCAAGAGUUAGCUUUGUUGAGUUAAAACUUUGGGCCAUGGGACGAAGGCGUAUUUGUAAUCCAUUCAUAUGUAAAGAUAUUCUUUUUCUAAAUAAAUUUUUCUAAAUGAAAUUAAGUCGAGACGAUACCUUUUUGCAUUCAUGCAUUUGUAUUACAUCACAUCGUAUUAUAUGCAUUUAAAUUAUAAAAAGACCAUAAUUAGUUAAAGUUAUUAAAAAAGAAAGAAAAAAGAGAGAGAGAGAGAAGAGGGUCACGGCUAAGUGAAAAAGAGACGUUCCCUUACAUAUCCCUGACUUUUGUGUCAAGAGGGAUAGCUUACCCGGAGAAUGGGGUGUUUGGAAAUGAAAAUAAUCCCAUCAAUGUCAUACAUGAGGAAGGGACUGAACAAAGAAACCUUGAGGGCAUUCGCCCUUACGAACCGGGAAGUUCUUUAAACAAUUAGACUGCAGAAGAACUUCCUGUAAUCUUUAGGAAUUUUACGGAGUAAUAUUCAGAACAUUCUUGUUACUCUAAAGCCUAGGAGUAAUGAGAUUUCUUUUGAGAAGUGGGCUCAUGUUCAGACAUUUUUAUUUUCAAUAAAACAUACUUUUAUUAUUUAUCCGAGUAAAUAUUCUUUCAUUCUGAUUCUUUUGACCUUUGACAUUCUUUAUAAAUUUUCAUUUCAUGUAAAUAGUCAUUUUUGAAUUCAUUUAUUCCUUUUAUAUUCUUUUGUGUGCCUAUCAUAGAUCCCUAGAUAUCAAUGACACGGGCAACAAUACUACAGAUUCAGAGUUCCUUUUGAGUGCGAUAUGUGUUUAGAGGAAUCUUAGUACUUUGAAGGUGACAGAAAUUGUGACUUGUUUCUGAAUUUGUUGAAAAUGGUUUUUACCCCAUGAAGUGGUGGUAAGAAAUAUAGCCUUAGAGGAAGGAAAGAUUACGAAAUUGGAAUUAGCUGAGGAGACAAAACAAGACCUUGUUGAGACUAUUAUAGGAAUUCAAAAAUAUGGUCCAAAGACGCAUGUAGGAGGAUUUGUAAUUGCCAGGAUAAACAUGAGGUUUUGGGGCACUGUUGGUCCACCAUGGAAAGGGAUCGCAUCAGUUGUACAAUGAAUGCCAAAUUUAAAGGAGUAAAGACUUAUGUGGCAUGUAUGUUAUGGGCCCGAGCUCAUCAAAAGUUUCAAGCUGACAAUGACUCAUCUUUGUAGACGUCAACUAUUCCAUUAAGAGGGGGAGAUAGCUUCAUAUGCCAAUAUUACAAAGUCAAAAGUCAUCUAUUUCAAAAAAAAUAAAAAAAAAAUAAAAAAGAUUAUAUAUAACUGCACAAUGCCAAAAGUUUGCAGUCUUUUCAAAGAUAAUGCGCCAUACCACAGUACAACAAAGGUUGCCAAAAGAAAAGAAAAAGAAGAAAAAAACAAAUUAAAAAAGAUGACCGAGACUGGUAAAAAUUGGCAUAAGAAACUACCGCCUACUCUCUAUGCUUACGCUGGGGAAAACACCUUCAAUUCCAGUUGUUUCAAAGGUUCCAACCAUCAUCCUUGGAAUGGGUGCAUUGUUUGGCUUUCCUGAGCAGUCUGAUGUGCCGUCAAUAGCUGCGAUGGUUAGCUCCAGGCGGUGGCCAUUGAUUUUCAGCUAUGGGGCAUCAGUCCGUACACAAUCUCUGAAGCUUUAAAUGAUAGAUUCUUUCUUCAAAACCAGUUUCUGACAAAGUUGGUGAUGGUAUCAUGAAGGAAGCUCUCUUAGACUUUUAUACAAGUUCAGAAAAGAGGAAACCUGAUCAAAUUAUUAUUUUCAGGGAGAGGGUUAGUGAAUCUCAAUUCAAUCAAGUUUUGAUCAAGUUAUUGAGGCUGGCAAGUUCCUUGGCGAGAAGUGGAACCCUAAAGAUUGUGGUUAUUAUUGUACGAAAAACCAUCAUACCAAGUUUUUUUUUCAGCAGGGAUCUCCUGACAAUGUGCUACAUGGUAUUGUCAUUGACAGCAAAGUAUGCCAUCCAAAGAACAAUGCUUCUUACCUUGGUACCCAUGCUGGAAUGAUUGGAAUCACGAGGCAAACCCACUAUUAUGUUCUCUUAGACCAGGCUAGGUUUUUGGCUGAUGAUCUGCAAGAGUUUGUUCAUUCUCUAUCCUAUAUGUAUCAAAGGAGCACUACAGCCAUAUUUGUUGUGCCUCCUAUUUGCUACGCUCAUUUGGCAGCUUCACAGUUGGGGGCAAUUUAUGAAAAUUAGGGAUGCUUCAGAAACAUCAUCGAGUCAUGGUGGGAUGUAUGCUCCAGGAGUAAUCUCUGUACCUCAGCUUUCUAGGUUGAUGGAUAAAGUCAGCAACUUCAUUCUUGUUUGCUGAGAAUCAUUGAACCAUCUUUUUGUAGGGUUUGACAAACAACAGCCAGGACGGCUGCUGGGGUAAUCCCUUUCUCAUGGGUUUAUGAAUCAAGAUUUUUCCUCCAAGCUUUGAUGGAGUCAAGAAUUGAAUACCUCUAGUAAACUUAAUUUGAAAGUAUUCAUCCUAAGCAAAUGUACCAAGAAUGGAUGACACAGACUUAUGACAAAGAAGGUUCGUCCAAAAGAAUUUCAUAAAGGAAACCUUGCAAAAGGAUGCCGAAUUGGGAAGGGCCAUAUUUACGAAGAGGGCUUUCUCUAGAGGUGCAUUGAUUUUGACAAAAAAAUGGAUAGGAAGAAUUUAUCUAAUCCAGUGAAUUCAGACUCAGUCAAAGAGUACUUUGUCUGAAGGAGAAGGGAAGCCAAGGUGAAAACCCGAAAAGGGCACUUUGGGACUUCUAUUUAAAAAAAGAAAAAAAGAAAAGAAAAAGAGAAAAAAAUAAAGAGAAAAAAUAAAAAAUGGAGAGGCCAAGGUGAAAACCCGCAAAGGGCUCCUUGAGACCAAAGGGGUUUUGAGUUGAAAACCCGAAAGGGCAGCUCAAAUUUGGAAAGUCAUGCAGUGACCUUGCUAUACCGGAUUCGGCGAGAAGUGAAGUAUGUUACAUAUCGAGGCAUCAACAAAUUACUUUGGAUCUUUUAAACACAUGUUGAACUCAAGAAAGUCUUCAUGGAGCUGGUGUAUAGACACUCAAGCGGCGAUAUCUAGGGCAUCUGAUUUUUUGUCCUGUUUACUAUCUUUGGAUUCUCUUUCUUCUCAAAGAUAGAUUCCUAGAUUAACCUCCUUUGUCUUUUUGAUAAAUCAUUAUCCUCAAGAUCAAUUUAUUAGUCCCAUUAUUCAUAAAGUGUGUUGCAUAGAAAUAAUAAUUGAUGAACGAAAUAUCUUUACAAACGAAGUUUUGCAUAUUACUCUGGAAAUUUCUAGAUAAUACAAGAAACUGAAACAAGACAAUUAUUUAAAGAAUUUCUAUAUUUGAGGGUCGGAUGUACUCGGGGGAAAUUUCUUCUUCAGUCCAAAAGGUGGUGGGACAUUUUAAAUUGAUCUUAAAAAAGGAUCAUUUCAUAAACAUCUCCAGCGGGUCACAACAUUUGGAGAAUGGCACAAUAGGACUAAGUUGAUUCAAAACAUACAAGCAGAGUAUGAUUGAUACUUCAAGAAGUAUAAAGUUAAAACUUCGAUGAGGGAAUGAGUGAUGACGCCCGAAAUAAGGGUCAUAUUCAUAACAUUUUGCAUUAUAACAUGUCUAAUUAGGAGAAUUUGACUCACUUCGAUCAUAGGCAUGAACUCAUACGCAUUCUACAGGUUAUGGGACAAUGUAGAUCAAAGAAACAAGAUUUGGCAUCCCUAUGUUUAUAGGGAACAGAUCAAAGAUAGUAGAUCUGACAUUCCUGUGCUUAUAGCGAAGCAGAUUGAAGAUUUCAGCAUGGCAUCCCUGUGUUUAUAGGGAACAAGUUCAAGAUAGCAGAUUUGGCAUCCCUAUGUUUAUAGGGAACAGAUCGAAGAUAGCAGAUCUAACCUUCAGAUGUUUAUACUGAAGCAGAUCCAAGAUGAUUUGGCAUUCUUGUGUUUACAAGGAACAAAUCGAGGACAUAGUAGAUUUGACUCUCAGACGUUCUCAAAGAUAGCAGAUCUAACCUUCAGAUGUUUAUACUGAAGCAGAUCCAAGAUGAUUUGGCAUUCUUGUGUUUACAAGGAACAAAUCGAGGACAUAGUAGAUUUGACUCUCAGACGUUCUCAAAUAUAGCAGAUCUAACCUUCAGAUGUUUAUACUGAAGCAGAUCCAAGAUGAUUUGGUAUUCUUGUGUUUACAAGGAACAAAUCGAGGACAUAGCAGAUUUGACUCUCAGACGUUCUCAAAUAUAAUAGAUUUAACCUUCAGAUGUUUAUACUGAAGAAGAUCCAAGAUGAUUUGGUAUUCUUAUGUUUACAAGAAACAAAUCGAGGUCAUAGCAGAUUUGACUCUCAGACGUUCUCAAAUAUAGCAGAUCUAAGCUUCAGAUGUUUAUACUGAAGCAGAUCCAAGAUGGUUUGACAUCCUUGUGCUUACAAGGAACAAAUCAAGGACAUUGCAGAUAUGACUCUCAAAUGUUCUCAAACAUGACUCAAGAUGGUUUAGGCAUCCUUGUGCUUACAAGGAACAAGUCGAGGACCUUGCAGAUAUGAUUCUCAAAUGUUCUCAAACAGACUCAAGAUGAUUUGACGUCUUUACAAAUCGAAGAAGCAGACUCAGUGUCUCUGUGUUCGGCAGAAAAUAGAUCAAAGAUAUCAACAUAGCAUUCUUGAGGUCGUAGGGAGAAGGUAGAAGACCAUUCGAGGAAAAGAUCGCAAAGAUUGGGCUAGGCCGGGCAAAUUUGGUCCUUUAUGGUUUUUGCUCAAUUCCUAUUACAUAGCAAUGAGCAAAGAUGGGCAGCUGUAAAAGCCCAAAUUCGUCCGGGUCUUAAAAAAACUAAACAAAUAAAUAAAUAAAUAAAUAUUUAUUUAUUAAACAGUCCAGGUUACAAAAGCCCAUACCCAGUUACAACCCAAUAGCCAAAUCAGUACCUAAAACUACCCAGCAGGCCCACUACCCAAAACCUUAAAGUAGUCCCGUAGCCCAAGUACAACAGAUCCAGCAGCCAAAACUUGACCCUACCUAGACCAGCCUAACUUAAACAGACCCACCCGAAGGCCCAAAUAGCGGGAGCCCAAAUGAGUUUCGGAUAGGGUUAGAAACCCUAACUCUCCUUCUCUUCAGCACCACAAUGAAGUUCUGGAAGCUUCGAGUCAUCCCAAGCGUCUCGACCCUUCGAUGUAUGCCGUUCCAGUAACACCAUCAGCACCGUGAUUCCAGGAUCCGUGAUCGGUGCACUAAUCAGAGGCUAGAGACUUCG
rnacentral:lncRNA from 1 species